CUCAAAUUCAGGAAGAACGUGAGAUGAAUCGAGAUUUUCAAGUUCAAGUUGAAGAACAGAUCUGCGCAUGUGCGAGAUCCGAGAUGGCUGCUAGACGUUCUUCUCCGUGCUGAUUUAAACGGAAAAACGCUGGAAACCCCAAGAAAACCGAGCCAAUUUUUCUAUGAAGAGCUCCUUAGGGAUGUCCGAAGUCUGGGGGAUCCGAAGGGGCCAGACCUCUGCGGGGGCUGCCAUUCUCGGGCGCCCCCGGCUCGCUCAAACAUCAUCGGAGGUUUGUGUGUUGCCUGACGGUAGAGGAAGCGAAGCAACGCUGGGAACGGCGAUAGCGGAUUUCGGCGUCUUUGGCGUUUUUCGCUGGCAGCGACUUCCCUCGGCGCUAUUUAAAGGUUCUGGUGCCCUCGUCUUGCUAGCUGCACUCCCUGGGGGCUUUUUCUGGUUACCAUCUCCCCGGAAUGCAAGCGGACGGACGGAGGAAUUACUGGAACUGGUGAUAGCGCUCUGGGGGGGCUCUGCUCAGCCGCCAUUAUUUUGGAGAGAGAGCAGACGGAUAAGAACACUGCUGAGGCUGCCCAGGAUGUAGGAGCGGGGCAGGAGGCUCUCCCCGAGGUUGGUGCCUCCACUGAGGUAGCUGCGCAUGAUGGUGAAGCUGGAGGAGGAGGAGGAGCUGGACAUGGUGCUGGUGCCCACAUUCGUGCCCCCGGAUGACUUCUCUGCCGGCUGCCCACAUGUGCCACA